rnacentral:rRNA from 1 species
AAACUCAAAGGAAUUGACGGGGACCCGCACAAGCAGCGGAGCGUGUGGUUUAAUUCGUUGCUACACGAAGAACCUUACCUGGGUUUGACAUAUAGGUUGUAGGGAACUGAAAAGGGACCGACCCUUCGGGGAGCCUAUACAGGUGUUGCAUGGCUGUCGUCAGCUCGUGUCGUGAGAUGUUCGGUUAAGUCCGCUAACGAGCGCAACCCUCGCCGUAUGUUAUAUGUGUCAUACGGGACUGCCGGUAAAAAGCCGGAGGAAGGUGGGGAUGAUGUCAAGUCAGCAUGACCUUUAUAUCCAGGGCUACACACACGCUACAAUGGUCUGUACAAUUGGUUGCCAAGCCGCGAGGCGGAGCCAAUCCUUAAAGCAGGCCUCAGUUCAGAUUGCAGUCUGCAACCCGACUGCAUGAAGCCGGAGUUGCUAGUAACCGCAGGUCAGCAAUACUGCGGUGAAUACGUUCCCGGGUCUUGUACACACCGCCCGU